ACGAUCACACACACCAGACUCACCCCGCCGCCGCCACACUCACCCCGCCGCCGCCGCACCAGCCACGCCGGGCCGGCCGACCAAGCCCGCGCGCCGCCUCCUUCCGAGCUAGUCACUCCGACCGGCCGCAUCCACCCGGCAUUGCUCGCCCCGACCCCGGCCAGGACCCCACCUCGCCGCCGUCGCGCCGGCGACGCCCAGCUGGCCGUCCAAGCCCGGCGCGCCGCUGCAUCCCCUGUGCCUCAUCCCGGCCGGACGCAUCCCUAGCUCCGGCGAGCGCGUGCGCGAGCUCCGUGAAGUCGAACCCGCUGCAGAGCACAAGCACAAGCAUGAGUGCGACGUCCACGGCCGGCAGGAGCAAUUUUCUGAAGGAGGUGUAGCAGUGUGUUGCAGGGAAGUGUCAGUGAGUAUUGCUUCCACAACCGUAAAGCAGCACCAAUUAUCAUUGUGCCUGGCAAAGAAUCAAUCAGCAGCAUCGAAUAACAUGCCUCGUCAACUUGGAGAUUCACCGGGAUCGCAUCUUGGGCCUCAUCAACUAGGACCUUCACCAUGAUGGGUUUGUGACAACUAUGAUGCUAUUGUAGUUAGCUGGACUUGUGAAAACACUUGUGCUGUAAUUUGGACAAAUACGAUGCUAUUGUGGUUGGACUUGUGGACUUGUGGUUGAUUUUGGACAAAUAUGAUGCACUCGUGAGAUAUGUGACAUAUAUUGUGGUGUUUGUGAUA